UACGUAGGGGGGCAAGCGUUGUCCGGAUUCAUUGGGCGUAAAGAGCUUGUAGGCGGUUCGGCAAGUCGGGUGUGAAAACUCCAGGCUCAACCUGGAGACGCCACCCGAUACUGCUGUGACUUGAGUCCGGUAGGGGACCACGGAAUUCCUGGUGUAGCGGUGAAAUGACGCAGAUAUCAGGAGGAACACCGGUGGCGAAGGCGGUGGUCUGGGCCGGCACUGACGCUGAGAAGCGAAAGCGUGGGGAGCGAACAGG
rnacentral:rRNA from 1 species